CGUAGCAUUUUGAAGUAGUAUUCAAAUGAGUAAAGGGUGAAAGAGGGUUGGGAAAGACGAGAAGAAGUUAGAAAACCCAAAAGCCCUUUCCCUGAAAUCACCUGAACUCCUAGAAGCUGUAUCCGCCCGUUUUCUAUACGGAAACUCUCGGAGAUUACAAAGACAUUGUCUUCAUCCACCUCCAUCAACUAUCUUCAGACAGAUUGAUUGUAGUUGUAGACAGUCUUGCGAAGGAAUUUCUCUCUCAGCUGCUUCAGGACUUGCAAAAUGUCUACUGGCCUUGGACUUGAGUCUCUUGUAGAUC